rnacentral:rRNA from 1 species
CACGUAGGGGCCAAGCGUUGUCCGGAUUCAUUGGGCGUAAAGAGCUCGUAGGCGGUUCAGUCAGUCGGGUGUGAAAUCUCCGGGCUCAACCCGGAGGGGCCACCCGAUACUGCUGUGACUCGAGUCCGGUAGGGGAGUGGGGAAUUCCUGGUGUAGCGGUGAAAUGCGCAGAUAUCAGGAGGAACACCGAUGGCGAAGGCAGGUCUCUGGGCCGAUACUGACGCUGAGGAGCGAAAGCGUGGGGAGCGAACAGG